UACGGAAGGGGCAAGCGUUGUUCGGAAUCAUUGGGCGUAAAGGGCGCGUAGGUGGUUCUGUAUGUCUACCGUGAAAGCGUACGGCUCAACCGUAUUUUGUCGGUAGAAACUGCAGGACUUGAGGCUGGGAGGGGCUGGUGGAAUUCCCUGUGUAGCGGUGAAAUGCGUAGAGAUGGGGAGAACACUCGUGGCGAAGGCGGCCAGCUAGACCAGUUCUGACACUGAGGCGCGACAGCGUGGGGAGCAAACAGG
rnacentral:rRNA from 1 species